rnacentral:rRNA from 1 species
AGAGUUUGAUCCUGGCUCAGAACUAACGCUGGCGGCGUGCCUAACACAUGCAAGUCGAGCGGAACUCUUCGGAGUUCAGCGGCGGACGGGUGAGUAACACGUGGGUAACCUGCCUGACAGAUCGGGAUAACGCUUGGAAACGAGUGCUAAUACCAGAUAGGCUGCUUGGUCGCAUGACCGAGCAGGGAAAGAGGCUUUCG